AGGGCUCGCUAGGAUAUCGCAUCCUAUGCCUACGUAUCUCGUCUGGAACGAGAAUCAGAGCUGCCGUAGUUCGGCUCACGCACGCCAAACAAAACGCACACAAACACAGCAAACUUGGAACGCCGAACGCCAAUCGCUGGACUUACAUCGGCUUCCGAACCAAACAAACACACUCAGGAUACGGACAGCCAAUCGCUGGUCUUACAUCCAUAUCCAGACA
rnacentral:lncRNA from 1 species